UACGUAGGGUGCGAGCGUUGUCCGGAAUUAUUGGGCGUAAAGAGCUUGUAGGCGGUUUGUCGCGUCUGCUGUGAAAAUCCGGGGCGUCAACCCCGGACUGCAGUGGGUACGGGCAGACUAGAGUGUGGUAGGGGAGACUGGAAUUCCUGGUGUAGCGGUGAAAUGCGCAGAUAUCAGGAGAACACCGGUGGCGAAGGCGG
rnacentral:rRNA from 1 species